UACGAAGGGGGCUAGCGUUGUUCGGAUUUACUGGGCGUAAAGCGCACGUAGGCGGAUCGUUAAGUCGGGGGUGAAAUCCUGGAGCUCAACUCCAGAACUGCCUUUGAUACUGUCGAUCUGGAGUAUGGAAGAGGUGAGUGGAAUUCCGAGUGUAGAGGUGAAAUUCGUAGAUAUUCGGAGGAACACCAGUGGCGAAGGCGGCUCACUGGUCCAUUACUGACGCUGAGGUGCGAAAGCGUGGGGAGCAAACAGG
rnacentral:rRNA from 1 species